rnacentral:lncRNA from 1 species
CGGGGUUAAAGAAUCCUUAUAGAAAGAAAACUUAGAUCAGAUGUGCUACAGCUAUUCUGGGUAUGCUAAAGAUUAAUAAAUAAAUAAAUAAAUGGCAAGAGCGUUCUUUCAACACCUGGGCUGUGAUCUCUGAUGGAAGUCUGCAGUGUGUGAACCAAGGAAAAUUCCACAGACAGAAAUGAGCAUUUUAUGGCAACUCUAUCAGGUAUUAAAUAUAAACUCUAAACCAAGAAACAAACAUUAAGCUGGUAAAAAGGUCAUAGCUUGAAAGGGCUGACUGACUCAAAACAUAAACAUUUCCCUUUUGGUUUCAACUUCUUCAGUUAACUGCUCUGUUCUAAGGGUUUCUCUGCCAUCCAGAAUGAAUGGUGCUCUCCCAGGCGUCUGGGUUUAGGGACGCGUGUGCACAGCACCGAGCAGCGUGAGCCGGUGCUCUCCCAGGCAUCUGGGAUUAGGGACGCGUGUGCACAGCACCGAGCAGCGUGAGCCUGUGUUCUCCCAGGCAUCUGGGAUUAGGGACGCGUGUGCACAGCACAGAGCAGCGUGAGCCUGUGUUCUCCCAGGCGUCUGGGAUUAGGGACGCGUGUGCACAGCACCGAGCAGCGUGAGCCUGUGUUCUCCCAGGCGUCUGGGUUUAGGGACGCGUGUGCACAGCACCGAGCAGCGUGAGCCUGUGCUCUCCCAGGCAUCUGGGAUUAGGGACGCGUGUGCACAGCACCGAGCAGCGUGAGCCUGUGUUCUCCCAGGCGUCUGGGUUUAGGGACGCGUGUGCACAGCACCGAGCAGCGUGAGCCUGUGCUCUCCCAGGCAUCUGGGAUUAGGGACGCGUGUGCACAGCACCGAGCAGCGUGAGCCUGUGUUCUCCCAGGCGUCUGGGUUUAGGGACGCGUGUGCACAGCACCGAGCAGCGUGAGCCUGUGUUCUCCCAGGCGUCUGGGUUUAGGGACGCGUGUGCACAGCACCGAGCAGCGUGAGCCUGUGUUCUCCCGGGCGUCUGGGUUUAGGGACGCGUGUGCAAAGCACAAAGUGGCAUUCCCCGCUUGCUCUACACGGAAACAGGCACUUCCUCCUCUUCUCUAGGGGGUUACCGAAACCCCUGUGCCAAGCACUCAGACUUCUAUUUCUUACCAAGCAGGCGCUCCUCCUUCCUCUCCAUGUUCCCAUCUGGCUAGUCCAGAUUUUCGGUUCACAUUCGAACGCCUCAAAAGAUGAUCUCACUGUCUCUCCUGCCUCACCACUCAUCCGUAACCAAACCACUCCAAUCAGCCUCCGCUCCUCCAAUCUCCUGGAAUUGUUCUCAACAAGGUGAGCAGUGACCAAGGUUCAGGCCCAGUGGGUACUUACCGGUCUUUUCUUGCAUACCGCUCUGCUGCACGUGGUCAUCCCCGCAUGCCAGCGCUCUCUGCUCUACCAUUCCUCUAACGCCCCGCUGCCCGCCUCCCCCCCACCCCCGUGUUCCUCGACACUAUGAUCUCUGUGUUCACUGUCUUUCUGCUGGUCCUUCAAUGAAGGUGUUAUUCCCCUUGGCUUACUGUCCUUAUCACACUAUAUGUGUAUCUCUCAACUGAACCUCAUUCUUAUCUAUUUACAAAGACAUAUGUCUUAUGCUUCCCAAAUCUUCAAUGCCAAACUCUCUUACAAGCUUCACACUUCCAGAUCUGUCUGGAAACAGAUCUCAUACACAGUCCUCACAAAGCUGACUUCAUCACCUCCUCCCCUUGUCUGUUAACCUACCUUAGAGACCCGAACUAGAGAAAUAGUAACCACACUAGGGCCUCCUCCUUGUAUCUCAUGCUGUAAUAAUGAUGAGGGCCUAGCAAUUUCACUUCCUGAACAUGACCUGCCAUCUCUCUCUUCAUCUCCACCUCCAGUUCUGCUGUCCCAGGUAAUUCAUUACAGCUCCCCGUGUAUCUGGGCAAGGCUCCUCACUGAAUUCUCUGGCCUUUUUAGGGCCACCCAUCUGUGGCUCCCAAACACCCCAGGGAAUUUCUAUGCUCUCUCUUCACAAACAGUCCCGCUCCUUCCCUUGUUCUUACCUCUGACUCAUUAAAUCCUACCCACCCUUUAUCGAUCUAGUCCAGAAGUCACUUCCUCCUUGGAGUCUCUGAGACAUCUUCUAUGCCCAGACGGGGACCAUCCCUCGUCCCUGCAUCCCGCCGUGCCCUGUGCGUCUCCUAUGCAGUUCUCGCCCGCUGUACUUACUUUCUUAGGACUCUGAGCUCUCUGAAGGACCUCCUUGCCAUAUCUUCUCUGUACCCCUCCUCACAAGUCUGGCACAUCACAGGAAUUCAAAUUUCUACUGAAUAAAUGAGUUUGCUGAUUAAAUAUCAGAACAUGAUAUACUGAUUCUUUAUCAACUGGGGCUGCUCAAUUAAUGAAUGAGUGGAAGUGUCUUUAUAGGGAAAUAUGCUGAUUCCAUUUUAGAACACAAUGCUUAUUUGCAAGGACACAAUUAUUAACUUACUGUGUAAUAGGCCAAGAUUCUUACUCAACAUACGUCCUUUGUAGGCAAAAGCAAACCACAAUAAGCCUACCCUGACCUGAGACGCUUGUUGUUAAGAACAACAGAUAACCUGAGAACUGUGUUUUGCCAACAGUCAGUUUCCACCCUGAAGGAAUGGACUUCACAAGGCCUUUGCUUUGUGAGGCCCUGUUGCCUAUGUGCUGUGUGAUUACAAACAUUCCACAGUCGGUUAUUUAGAAAGAUACUGAAAUUGCGGAACUCUGUGCUGACACACUGAUUACAGCAACAACCACAGAUUGGACCUACUUCAUAUGAACACUUUAACCACCAGCUUAGGGACCAUCCCUGAGUUACAGCAGAGGGAGCCCUGAACUGGAAGCCCCAGCUCUCUCACCACCUGGCCAAGGGGCUGAAAGCAGGUGAUGCCACUUCUGUGGGUUGUGGUGAUCUCAUCUGUGCAAUGAAGAACUGGAUUUGGUUCAGCUCAGUCACCAACAGCUGACAACUACUGAACCAAGUGCAAAUGUGGAAGUCCUAUCCUCAAGAAAUUAAAGUAUAAUGGAAAUAAAGACAGAUGGCACCAAACUAUCAUCUACUGAUGUGCUCUGACGGCCCUUCACGGGUAAAGCUGCUAUGACAUGCUGCAACAAGGACAGGUGAAUACUCCUUAGGAAUGUAAAGUGACAUCACCCGUUCAUCUAACAGAUGCCAUCCUGGGUCAGACACCCGACCAACAAUGCCCUAUUCAUGGCACUAACACUGAGUGAAGGGAAGAAGAAAGGUGAUUAUUUCCCAUACUGAAAACUGAAAAGUUUGCUCUUGAAAAUAACCUGGCCUAAAUGACAAGACGUGUUCAUUCUUAGAAGUCAGGGUGUGCUCUGAACGAGUGUUACGUGUGGGUAAGUUUUUCAGUGAAAGAAAGCCUCAACGAGUCAAUAAUAAACAUUAAACAAUUCUGUUCCAAGCAGGAACUUGCAAACUCCUGGUGCAAGAGCAUCAAGAAGCAAUGAGAUCUCGUCUCGGGCAGAGUAAAUGGCUGAAAUGGAACUUGCUGGGUCCACACCAGUUCACCCUGUUCUUCCUAAAUACACCGACUUCUGUCAGGUUCAUUCAAGCUAAAAGUCAACCAAACUUUCCAUGCUCCCAUUUCACAAUUUACGUAUAAUUUACCUCUUUUAUUUCUCUACCUCAAAGAAUUACACAUAUGAUCAAAUCCAAAAUGGGCAAAACAACCAAUGGAGGAUUUGAGGGGCGAGGAGCCAGUAGGACACAACCUGAGACGUGCUCUUGCCAAGUCAGAGAACUUACUGCGCGGAGUGGUGUCAGGACCAGAGGGGAAGUUUAACCCAAGAUGCUUUUUAUAGACAUUCAGUUUCCUCAACAAGGCUUUCUUUUGCUGCUACUCUAAGCAGAAGUGAGGGUAAAAAAUCCAGGUAGAACUGAGGAAUGAUCUGGCAUGCCAGCAGCACCGUGUAAACAAUCCAGGUAGAACUGAGGAAUGAUCUGGCAUGCCAGCAGCACCAUGUUGGUGCUGGGGGCUCUGGGAUGCUGGGUUUGCAUAUUCUGUGAUUUGGUACCUGGGCAUUUAUAUCCGGCAUCAACAAGAACACCUAUGCUCUUUUCCUGUGCUUCUGGAGGUCUGGGAGACAGAAGAUACUAUUUUAAAAGUGUGUUCAUUGCAAAAUUCUUAUUUCCCAGAUAAUAUACUGUAAAAGUGCUUCUCAGGCCUGUUUGCCUUGUGCUUUUACUUUUCUAAUUAUAACGUAAGCUUUAUAAAGUAAAUUACACCUCUUCUCGGCAAAUUUCUGUUAGGAGGUCCAUACCAAAAACACUGUGCGGUAACCUUGGGACUUGUGAAAAGCUUGGUAACAAAGACCAAUUUUCAAAUUACUAAUCAAACAGAAAAAACAACUAAUUUAAGCUAACUGGAGUUACAUUGGGAGACAGAACAUUUUCACAGCCUGCAGGAGUAAAAUCUGAGGAUCUGAGGUUAUCUUUUCAGCAACAGAGAAAGUCACCUGGUGACUCUCCUUCCCUAAGGAACUCUGGAAUUUAGGGAACAUUCUGGGAGCCCAAGUCAGCGUGACAGAGGGUUGGCCCCAGGUCUAAGGCUCACAUCACCACUUCAAUAUGAUUGAAAGGUAUGGCCUUUGGCUUGUCCAACCCAAUGAAUAAAAUUCGUAAAUAAAAGUAGCCUGUAUUUUGGAAAUAGGGUUUAAGGUGCUCUGGAAUAAAAGACAAGGAAAGCUGAGCUCUUCCUGCUGAGGCCAUAGAGUCCAGGGUCCCAGGGCAUCUGAUGGGAACCAGGAAACUGGAAAAACCAGUUCUUAAAGUUCCUAAAACCUGACAGUAAAUAUUGAACAGUAAACAGCUCAACUGUUUUUGUGUUUAUAUGCUAAGGAAGGUUCAUUUACUAGGGUUUAUUGGCAGUUAUGUAAAAUGAUACUUGUAUGAACAAAACUGCUAUUUUAAGUUUCAGAUAUUGCUUCAUCAGGGUGCUUGUCCUACAAGUUGGCGGAAAUCUAAACAGAGGGAAAACAUUAUGAAUACAUUGUUAUUUAUUAGUAAACAAAACAGCAAAAAUAAACUGAUUUUCUUUGGUCCAAAAGGCCUAGUUUGAUUUUAUAACUAAAAUUCUUUCUCUUCACUAGAAGUCUUCCGAUUGUAGUUGGGCACAGUCUUACAGAACGUAAGCGAGCGCCAGUGCAGCUUCUACUCAUGUCCAGCUACUCCUCAGCCUCCUUUAGCAGGGGCAGGAGGAGCCAAAACCUCCCAUGUUGGUAAAGAUGCUCCAUGAGGGCAGAACCCACCAACCCAGCAGCACUGCAGUUAACACCUGCACUCAUCUGAGAUUCCCAUGCUGUAUCUGACAGCUGUCUAAAAGCCCACACAGUAUUUACCUAAGGAAACAGCAUGGCUCUGAGUUACAACUGUCAGUUCAUAAAAUUAGACUAUCUUCUAAGAACGCGCUCACAUUCAAAGAAUCACAGAGCCGGAUGAGACAGGAGCACAGCCAGGCAAG